AGAGUUUGAUCAUGGCUCAGGACGAACGCUGGCGGCGCGCUUAACACAUGCGAGUUGAACGCUCCGCCCUUUUCUGCCCUUCGGGGCAGAGAGGAUCACGGAGAGUAGCGGACGGGUGAGUAACGCGUAGGUAACCUGCCCUGAGGAGGAGGAUAACCCUGCGAAAGUGGGGCUAAUCCUGCAUAUGUUAGGGAGUGGCAGCACACCCUAAUGAAAGGCGGCAUCAAGCCGUCGCCUCAGGAUGGGCCUGCGUCGGAUUAGCCAGCUGGUAGGGUAAAGGCCUACCAGGGCGACGAUCCGUAGCUGGUCUGAGAGGACGAUCAGCCACACUGGGACUGAGACACGGCCCAGACUCCUACGGGAGGCAGCAGUGGGGAAUCUUCCGCAAUGGGCGCAAGCCUGACGGAGCGACGCCGCGUGGGUGAAGAAGGCCUUCGGGUCGUAAAGCCCUGUCAGCGGGGAAGAAAGCGAUCAUCAAGAAAAGGGUGAUCGUUGACGGUACCCGGUGAGGAAGCCCUGGCCAACUACGUGCCAGCAGCCGCGGUAACACGUAGAGGGCAAGCGUUGUCCGGAAUUACUGGGCGUAAAGGGCGCGCAGGCGGCAAGGCAAGUCGGGUGUGAAAACCUGGGGCUUAACCCCAGGCGUGCAUUCGAAACUGUUUUGCUUGAGGGCAGCAGAGGGAAACGGAAUUCCUGGUGUAGUGGUGAAAUACGUAGAUAUCAGGAGGAACACCAGUGGCGAAAGCGGUUUCCUGGGCUGUCCCUGACGCUGAGGCGCGAAAGCCGGGGGAGCGAACCGGGAUUAGAUACCCCGGUAGUCCCGGCUGUAAACGCUGGAUCAUNUAGGGUGUUGGGGGUUAAACUCCUUCAGUGCCGCAGUUAACCGCACUAAGUUUCCCGCCUGANUCNGACGC
rnacentral:rRNA from 1 species